rnacentral:rRNA from 1 species
AGCGAACGCUGGCGGCAGGCCUAACACAUGCAAGUCGAACGAACCCUUCGGGGUUAGUGGCGGACGGGUGAGUAACACGUGGGAACGUGCCUUUAGGUUCGGAAUAACUCAGGGAAACUUGUGCUAAUACCGAAUGUGCCCUUCGGGGGAAAGAUUUAUCGCCUUUAGAGCGGCCCGCGUCUGAUUAGCUAGUUGGUGAGGUAAUGGCUCACCAAGGCUACGAUCAGUAGCUGGUCUGAGAGGAUGACCAGCCACAUUGGGACUGAGACACGGCCCAAACUCGUACGGGAGGCAGCAGUGGGGAAUCUUGCGCAAUGGGCGAAAGCCUGACGCAGCCAUGCCGCGUGGAUGAUGAAGGUCUUAGGAUUGGAAAAUCCUUUCACCGGUGAAGAUAAUGACUGUAGCCGGAGAAGAAGCCCCGGCUAACUUCGUGCCAGCCGCCGCGGUAACAC